CACGUUGCGUGCCGCCAGAUCUCUGUGGACAAAGUUGUUGGCUUCCAGGUACUCCAUGGCCUCGCACACAUCACUGAAGGGGAGGACACAUUAUUUUUUUUGCAAGGAGCUGAUUGGACCACAACCACUAUCACUUGAGAUGACGAUAACUCACAGAGAGAACUUCAGUAAGCAGUCGCCACCAAGCACAGUCCGUCCUCGGGAACGCAAGUAGUCCACCAGGCUGCCCUGUUGCACAAGAGGAACCUUUUUAAAACUUUGUUCUGCUCGACUGAUCAAGUCUGAUUCUCAAUAAACCUCAAUUAUAAUACCACAGUGGAACCUUCAAAACUCCACUGUGACCCAGUAAAACUGUUUCGGCAUAAAAGGGAUACAGAUUUUCCAUUCUGCUUGACCUAACACCCAAACAGGACAAAAAAAUAAUAAUAGGAGAUCUGCAUGGAGGAAUGGGCCAAAAUACCAGUAACAGUGUGUGAAAACCUUGUGACGACUUACAGAAAACGUUUGACCUCUGUCAUUGCCAACAAGGGGUAUAUAAAGCACUGAGAAUAAAUGUUGUUAUUGACCAAAUACCUAUUUUCCACCAUAAUUUGCUAAUA